GAUGAACGCUGACAGAAUGCUUAACACAUGCAAGUCUACUUGAACUUCGGUUUGGGUGGCGGACGGGUGAGUAACGCGUAAAGAACUUGCCUCACAGUUAGGGACAACAUUUGGAAACGAAUGCUAAUACCUGAUAUUAUGAUUUUAGGGCAUCCUAGGAUUAUGAAAGCUAUAUGUGCUGUGAGAGAGCUUUGCGUCCCAUUAGCUAGUUGGAGAGGUAACGGCUCACCAAGGCGAUGAUGGGUAGCCGGCCUGAGAGGGUGAACGGCCACAAGGGGACUGAGACACGGCCCUUACUCCUACGGGAGGCAGCAGUGGGGAAUAUUGGACGAUGGACCAAAAGUCUGAUCCAGCAAUUCUGUGUUCACGAUGACGUUUUUCGGAAUGUAAAGUGCUUUCAGUUGGGAAGAAAAAAAUGACGGUACCAACAGAAGAAGUGACGGCUAAAUACGUG
rnacentral:rRNA from 1 species